CCUACGGGAGGCUGCAGUGAGGAAUAUUGGUCAAUGGGCGCGAGCCUGAACCAGCCAAGUAGCGUGAGGGAUGACUGCCCUACGGGUUGUAAACUUCUUUUAUAAAGGAAUAAAGUGAGGCACGUGUGCCUUUUUGUAUGUACUUUAUGAAUAAGGAUCGGCUAACUCCGUGCCAGCAGCCGCGGUAAUACGGAGGAUCCGAGCGUUAUCCGGAUUUCUUGGGUUUAACGGGAGCGUAGAUGGGGUGUUAAGUCAGUUGUGAAAGUUUGCGGCUCAACCGUAAAAUUGCAAUUGAUACUGGCAGUCGUGAGUACAGUUGAGGUAGGCGGAAUUCGUGGUGUAGCGGUGAAAUGCUUAGAUAUCACGAAGAACUCCGAUUGCGAAGGCAGCUUACUAAACUGCCACUGACAUUGAGGCUCGAAAGUGUGGGUAGCAAACAGGAUUAGAUACCCGAGUAGUC
rnacentral:rRNA from 1 species